AUGAUUUUCUUACCGUGCGCCGAAAUCACAGAAGAACAUCACCUGUACCCAUAAGCAGGUGAUUAGUGCGUGCACCCACACGCUCGCUCUGAUUGGCAACGAUUGAAUCAUCCUCAUGGUAGGGUGAAAUCGAGGACGGAAGCCGAACUGUGCCAGGGUUUCGGGUGGGUCUGAAAUCUGGCGAACGAUGGCUCAAGCUGUUGAAGAAUGGUACAAGCAGAUGCCCAUCAUCACCCGCUCCUAUCUCACAGCCGCUGUCGUCACCACCAUCGGCUGUUCGCUCGAUAUAAUUUCUCCCUGUCAUCUGUACUUGAACCCUAAACUAGUGGUGAAGCAGUAUCGGUUCUGGCGCCUAAUCACCAAUUUCUUGUACUUCCGCAAAAUGGGUAACCCCUUAAGCUUGGAUUUUUAAGAUAUCAUGUCCUAUACCGAUUUUAAUUUGACAUGAAGUUUGAUCUAUUCAUUAUA